UACGUAGGGACCGAGCGUUGUCCGGAAUCAUUGGGCGUAAAGAGCGUGUAGGCGGCCCGGUAAGUCCGCUGUAAAAGUCAAAGGCUCAACCUUUGAAUGUCAGUGGAUACUGCCGGGCUAGAGUCCGGAAGAGGCGAGUGGAACUCCUGGUGUAGCGGUGGAAUGCGCAGAUAUCAGGAAGAACACCAACGGCGAAGGCAGCUCGCUGGGACGGUACUGACGCUGAGACGCGAAAGCGUGGGGGAGCGAACAGG
rnacentral:rRNA from 1 species